rnacentral:rRNA from 1 species
CCGGGGUGGAGUAAUGUCUGGGAAACUGCCCGAUGGAGGGGGGUAACUACUGGAAACGGUAGCUAAUACCGCAUAACGUCGCAAGACCAAAGAGGGGGACCUUCGGGCCUCUUGCCAUCGGAUGUGCCCAGAUGGGAUUAGCUAGUAGGUGGGGUAAUGGCUCACCUAGGCGACGAUCCCUAGCUGGUCUGAGAGGAUGAUCAGCCACACUGGGACUGAGACACGGCCCAG